CAAGUCUUUUACCAGCCAUCAAGUUUCCAUCUGAGGACCAGGUUCUUGCCUGUGUAAUGUAUUUCUCUUCAGAGAGACUGUCAGUCAUUCAUUACCAGGAUCUGAAGAAUGGCUGUUAUGAAUAAAUGUGUCUGUUUUUUUCCAGUGAAA